AUUCUGCUCAGCAAUUCCCAGGAUCGAGCCCCGACUGACAAAUGUAAAUCGGGACCUGCCGCAGACCCGCACUCUGUCACGAGCCGCUGUUCUCCUUCACGUGUCUCCUAAAUCUCUGUAUUUGCUUUGUGCUUGUGUCUGACACCCAAUCCUUCUUUAGUCGUACCUUUUAAGAAAAAAAGGCUAUCUGAUACGUUUCAGAGGAAGCAGAAAUGAACGUUUGCAAAGCCGCAGCGGAUGGAGAUGUUAUGGGAGGUUGGGCAUUGUUGUCACAGAUUUCAUGUGAGAAAUUUCAAGUUCUGCAAUGAGCUGGAAGGUACCAAUUGUACCAUUUUGAUUCUAGGCAACAGUGCUGCAGAAUAUGAGAGGAACAUUUUUCAGGAAGAAAACAAGACUGUGUGGACUAAUCAAAGGUUGAGCUCGGGAGUCAUUUGGAUACAGGAUUAGGCCCCAAGGAAGGUGGUCUGAAGAAAAACGUUUCCGUUGUUGCAAACGUGAACAGAGAGGAGUUGGCAGCCGGUGUCGCCAGGCAGAGAGUGCGGGUCUGACUGCUGUGAAGCGCCAGGUGGCCCGGCCUGGCUCGCGGCUGGCAGGGGAGCGGCUGGAGCGCGGCUGCCGCCGGGCUGGGGCCGGUCCGCUGCUGCGUUGCGGGAUCGGUGGUCGACGCGCCGGGCUCGGCUGCCCGUCGGAGCGGAGCGGCAGCGGCCGCCUGCUCACUCGUGCCUGCAGCACCCUGUGCAGUUUCGCCCCGUCAGGCGGCACCGGGCGGCUGCUCCGUUCCCGUUCCGCCCGCCACGGCAGGACCGGGCUGGGGCGCUCCCCUAAAAAGGGAGCGGCAGAGCUCGAGCCGGCACGGACCCGCCAAGGCACGGACGGGGUUCGAACCCGUGAUCUUCGGUUUACGAGACCGACGCCUUACCACUUGGCCACCGCGCCUGCGUUAUCGCGCGCUCCCGACGCCGUUGUACGUCGGUGGCGGCGGCUGUGCGGGCGGCGC